rnacentral:rRNA from 1 species
UGCGUAGGCGGACUAAUAAGUCAGUGGUGAAAUCUCUCGGCUCAACCGGGAAACUGCCAUUGAUACUGUUAGUCUUGAGUUCGGUUGAGGUAGGCGGAAUGUGUAAUGUAGCGGUGAAAUGCUUAGAUAUUACACAGAACACCAAUUGCGUUGGCAGCUUACUAGACCGACACUGACGCUGAGGCACGAAAGCGUGGGUAGCGAACAGGAUUAGAUACCCUGGUAGUCC